GAUGAACGCUGACAGAAUGCUUAACACAUGCAAGUCGACUUGAAUUUGGGUUUUUAACUUAGGUAUGGGUGGCGGACGGGUGAGUAACGCGUAAAGAACUUGCCUCACAGCUAGGGACAACAUUUGGAAACGAAUGCUAAUACCUAAUAUUAUGAUAAUAGGGCAUCCUAUAAUUAUGAAAGCUAUAAGCGCUGUGAGAGAGCUUUGCGUCCCAUUAGCUAGUUGGAGAGGUAACGGCUCACCAAGGCGAUGAGGGGUAGCCGGCCUGAGAGGGUGACCGGCCACAAGGGGACUGAGACACGGCCCUUACUCCUACGGGAGGCAGCAGUGGGGAAUAUUGGACAAUGGACCGAGAGGCUGAUCCAGCAAUUCUGUGUGCACGAUGAAGUUUUUCGGAAUGUAAAGUGCUUUCAGUUGGGAAGAAACAAAUGACGGUACCAACAGAAGAAGUCAGGGCUAAAUACGU
rnacentral:rRNA from 1 species